CCUACGGGUGGCAGCAGUGAGGAAUAUUGGUCAAUGGUCGGGAGACUGAACCAGCCAAGCCGCGUGAGGGAUGAAGGUACAGAGUAUCGUAAACCUCUUUUGUCAGGGAACAAAGGCGGGGACGUGUCCCCGGAUGAGUGUACCUGAAGAAAAAGCAUCGGCUAACUCCGUGCCAGCAGCCGCGGUAAUACGGAGGAUGCGAGCGUUAUCCGGAUUUAUUGGGUUAAAAGGGGGGGCGGCGGGACGGUUAAGUCAGCGGUAAAAGCCCGGGGCUCAACCCCGGCCCGCCGUUGAAACUGGCAGUCUCGAGUUGGAGAGAAGUAUGCGGAAUGCGCGGUGUAGCGGUGAAAUGCAUAGAUAUCGCGCAGAACUCCGAUUGCGAAGGCAGCAUGCCGGCUCCACACUGACGCUGAGGCACGAAAGCGUGGGUAUCGAACAGGAUUAGAUACCCUGGUAGUC
rnacentral:rRNA from 1 species